AACGUAGGUGGCGAGCGUUAUCCGGAUUUACUGGGCGUAAAGCGUGUGCAGGCGGGGUAAUAAGUGGUGUAUGAAAUCUACCCAGCUUAACUGGGAGGGGUUAUGCCAGACUGUUACUCUAGAGUGCGAGAGAGGAGCGUGGAAUUCCGGGUGUAGUGGUGAAAUGCGUAGAUAUCGGGAGGAACACCAGUGGCGAAGGCGGACUCACUGGACUGGUAUUGACGCUGAGGUGCGAAAGCGUGGGGAGCAAACAGGG
rnacentral:rRNA from 1 species